UGUACAUGUAAUUAAAAUGGUAUCAAAAACAAUUUGAUAACAACUACAAUUUGAUAAAUUUUUGUACUUCUUAUGCCGCAGGUGUUCCAACCUGCCUUCACACACUGACUGCACAGACUGCCAACUGCUGCAGCCACCCUUUCUGUGUGGAGGUGCGGACACCACAGACACUGCAGUCGCUUCUACCCUUCCAAGAAUUUCUUUAAAGUUUCCCAUGCUGCACACCACGUUUUUUCCUUUGUCAUUCGCAGACAAUGCUCCGUUAGUCUGCAUUCAGAAGUCUGAGCAUAUUUCUUCCACGCUAACUUACCUCUGUGACUGCAAAAGCAAACCCAAAGACUUCAAGUGCAAAGGGAUCCCUCCUCAGAGGAGGAGACGAGUACAUACCUAACUCAAAAACCCUGUGGUAUCAUCAGUACUCAAGCUGCCCGGUGUUUUUAACAGCUAGAGCAACAGCUCCAUCAGCACAGUCCACCAGAUCCACUCUCUCCGAUGUAAGUUUCAGUUGAAUAUUCCAGGAUCAAUGUAAGGACAUGCAAGAAAGUCUCCCAGUUUACUGCCUUCUGCAUCAUAAUGGAGCAUUCGAAAACAUACAUCACAGAAGAAACAAGGAUUCUCUGGUGCCAGACUGUCUUUGUUGGUUACCCAAAUGCAGGUUGCAAAAUACAAGUGUUUUCCACGCAAGUCAAAUGUGACAAAGCUGGGGAUGGCAUCAAUAAGCGUCACUGAUGUUGUAACUGAUCAGAAGCACAGUAUGGAGCUUUCAGGUGGAGGUCAGGAACUUAUCUGUGGGGAAGCAAUACGCUGCCUUCUUCUGAAACUUUCCUGAUAUAUUACUUCUACGUUGGAUGGAUCCAUACCUCCCCUCUACUUGAGAGCUGAUUUAAA
rnacentral:lncRNA from 1 species